ACGCUCGACACCUACGGAGGCAGCAGUUGGGAAUAUUGGACAAUGGAGGAAACUCUGAUCCAGUGACGCCGCGUGAAGGAAGAAGGUCUUCGGAUUGUAAACUUAUUUCGUCAGGGAAGAAAAAUGACUGUACCUGAAGAAAAAGCACCGGCUAACUACGUGCCAGUAGCCGCGGUAAUCUGAGCGGGCUGGCAAGGC
rnacentral:rRNA from 1 species